CAGGAAACCAGCUGGUCACCCAGAGCUGGAUGGGUCUAUUGUAACGCAAGCUCGGCCUGCCACUUCAUCUUGGGACCCAGUUGAAGCAGAACUCAUCACACAGAGAGCCAUGAGGACAUCCAUUACCCGCAUGGCACAGCGGAUGGACACAUUUGAGGAAAAGAUGGAUGAGCUGCUCAUGCUCUUAAGGAGCUCCCAGUCACCUCCCUCUGCUCCAG